GGAGGUAUAGCUCAGUGGUAUAGCACUUGGCUAGCAUGCACAAGGUCCUGGGUUUGAGUCCCAGUAUACCCC
rnacentral:tRNA from 1 species